UGACCGCUGGCGGCGUGCCUAAUACAUGCAAGUCGAGCGAACAGACGAGGAGCUUGCUCCUCUGACGUUAGCGGCGGACGGGUGAGUAACACGUGGAUAACCUACCUAUAAGACUGGGAUAACUUCGGGAAACCGGAGCUAAUACCGGAUAACAUGUUGAACCGCAUGGUUUAACAGUGAAAGACGGUCUUGCUGUCACUUAUAGAUGGAUCCGCGCCGCAUUAGCUAGUUGGUAAGGUAACGGCUUACCAAGGCAACGAUGCGUAGCCGACCUGAGAGGGUGAUCGGCCACACUGGAACUGAGACACGGUCCAGACUCCUACGGGAGGCAGCAGUAGGGAAUCUUCCGCAAUGGGCGAAAGCCUGACGGGGCAACGCCGCGUGAGUGAAGAAGGUCUUCGGAUCGUAAAACUCUGUUAUUAGGGAAGAACAAAUGUGUAAGUAACUAUGCACGUCUUGACGGUACCUAAUCAGAAAGCCACGGCUAACUACGUG
rnacentral:rRNA from 1 species